rnacentral:rRNA from 1 species
GACGAACGCUGGCGGCGUGCCUAAUACAUGCAAGUCGAGCGCAGGAAACUGACGGAACUCUUCGGAGGGAAGGCAGUGGAAUGAGCGGCGGACGGGUGAGUAACACGUAAGGAACCUGCCUCAAGGAUUGGGAUAACUCCGAGAAAUCGGAGCUAAUACCGGAUAGUUCAUCGGACCGCAUGGUACGUUGAUGAAAGGCGCGCCGGCGUCACCUUGGGCUGGCCUUGCGGUGCAUUAGCUAGUUGGUGGGGUAACGGCCCACCAAGGCGACGAUGCAUAGCCGACCUAAGAGGGUGAUCGGCCACACUGGGACUGAGACACGGCCCAGACUCCUACGGGAGGCAGCAGUAGGGAAUCUUCCACAAUGGACGAAAGUCUGAUGGAGCAACGCCGCGUGAGUGAUGAAGGUUUUCGGAUCGUAAAACUCUGUUGUAAGGGAAGAACACGUACGAGAGGGAAUGCUCGUACCUUGACGGUACCUUACGAGAAAGCCACGGCUAACUACGUGCCAGCAGCCGCCGUAA